UGGGGAAUAUUGCACAAUGGAGGGAACUCUGAUGCAGCGACGCCGCGUGAACGAAGAAGGCUUUCGAGUCGUAAAGUUCUUUUAUAUGGGAAGAUAAUGACGGUACCAUAAGAAAAAGCCCCGGCUAACUACGUGCCAGCAGCCGCGGUAAUACGUAGGGGGCUAGCGUUGUCCGGAAUCACUGGGCGUAAAGGGUUCGCAGGCGGAAAUGCAAGUCAGGUGUAAAAGGCAGUAGCUUAACUACUGUAAGCAUUUGAAACUGCAUAUCUUGAGAAGAGUAGAGGUAAGUGGAAUUUUUAGUGUAGCGGUGAAAUGCGUAGAUAUUAAAAAGAAUACCGGUGGCGAAGGCGACUUACUGGCUCAUUCUGACGCUGAGGAACGAAAGCGUGGGUAGCAAACAGG
rnacentral:rRNA from 2 species